CCUACGGGUGGCAGCAGUGGGGAAUAUUGGGCAAUGGGCGCAAGCCUGACCCAGCAACGCCGCGUGAAGGAAGAAGGCCCUCGGGUUGUAAACUUCUUUUGUCAGGGACGAAGAAAGUGACGGUACCUGACGAAUAAGCCACGGCUAACUACGUGCCAGCAGCCGCGGUAAUACGUAGGUGGCAAGCGUUAUCCGGAUUUACUGGGUGUAAAGGGCGUGGAGGCGGGAGUGCAAGUCAGAUGUGAAAUUCCAGGGCUCAACCCUGGACCUGCAUUUGAAACUGGUGUGCUGGAGUGCGGGAGAGGCAGGCGGAAUUCCGGGUGUAGCGGUGAAAUGCGUAGAUAUACGGAGGAACACCGGUGGCGAAGGCGGCCUGCUGGACAGUAACUGACGCUGAGGCGCGAAAGCGUGGGGAGCAAACAGGAUUAGAUACCCGUGUAGUC
rnacentral:rRNA from 1 species